rnacentral:lncRNA from 10 species
GAUGUGAUGUCACCUGCUUAUCCUAGCAGCUGCUUUCACCUCCCAGUUGCAGGACCCCUGAGCAAACCUUCUCAGCUUCCCUCCUUUGCACCAGUAUCUGUGCUGUGCUUGUCAGUGGAAUUCUUGCAGGACUGCAGGGAAGUUGGGUGUAUGUGGUUGGCGGUGGUGGUGGUGGAGAGAUGUUAUGGAGUCAAUAGUCAUUCAUCAACCACCUUCAAAAAGCUGUCUCCCCUUGUGCUGUUUAUUAUUAUUAUUAUUUUCCAGGCUACAUUGCCCACAAUGGUUAUUGCCUCCAACUCCAGAGGGCCACAUCAGCUGCCACUGACUUUUAUUCCUGCAAAUAAAAAUGUAAGCUCCACAAUGAGAAAAACACAAGCUAAAGAGACAAAGCCCAU